rnacentral:rRNA from 1 species
UAAGUGGCGCACGGGUGAGUACGCGUGGGUAAUCUGCCCCUCAGUUGGGAAUAACCCAUCGAAAGGUGGGCUAAUACCGAAUAAUGCUGUAUCGCCUCGGUGAUUCAGCCAAAGACGGCCUCUGCUUGCAAGCUGUCGCUGAGAGAUGAGCCCGCGUACCAUUAGCUUGUUGGUGGGGUAAUGGCCUACCAAGGCGGCGAUGGUUAGCUGAUCUGAGAGGAU